UACGUAGGGUCCGAGCGUUGUCCGGAAUUACUGGGCGUAAAGAGCUCGUAGGUGGUUUGUCGCGUUGUUCGUGAAAACUCACAGCUUAACUGUGGGCGUGCGGGCGAUACGGGAAGACUGGAGUACUGCAGGGGAGACUGGAAUUCCUGGUGUAGCGGUGGAAUGCGCAGAUAUCAGGAGGAACACCGGUGGCGAAGGCGGGUCUCUGGGCAGUAACUGACGCUGAGGAGCGAAAGCGUGGGGAGCGAACAGG
rnacentral:rRNA from 1 species